GAAGGUGAGAGGAAAGGCUUCGGUGCUCGGGGAGGGGCCUGCGGCCCAUCAGCUAGUUGGAGAGGUAACGGCUCCCCAAGGCAAUGACUGGUAGGGGGUGUGAGAGCAUGGCCCCCCACACUGGGACUGAGACACGGUCCAGACUCCUACGGGACGCAGCAGCAGGGAAUAUUGCGCAAUGGACGGAAGUCUGACGCAGCGACGCCGCGUGGAUGACGAAUGCCUUCGGGUUGUAAAAUCCUUUUCCGGGCGAUGAGGAAGGACACUAGCCUGUUGAAUAAGCGUCGGCUAACUACGUGCCAGCAGCCGCGGUAAGACGUAGGACGCGAGCGUUAUCCGGAUUUACUGGGCGUAAAGCGCCUGCAGGCGGUCAGGUAAGUCGGGUGUGACAGCCCCGUGCUCAACGCGGGGAGGCCAAGCGAUACUGCGUGACUUGAGGGCGGAAGAGGGGAGUGGAAUUCCCGGUGUAGCGGUAAAAUGCGCAGAUAUCGGGAGGAACACCAGUGGCGAAGGCGGCUCCCUGGACCGCACCUGACGCUCAGAGGCGAAAGCUAGGGGAGCGAACAGGAUUAGAGACCCUGGUAGUCCUAGCCCUAAACGCUGGAUGCUAGGUGUAGGGCUGAUGAGGCUCUGUGCCGGAGCGAACGCGAUAAGCAUCCCGCCUGGGAACUACGGCCGCAAGGCUAAAACUCAAACGAAUUGACGGGGACCCGCACAAGCAGCGGAGCGUGUGGUUUAAUUCGAUGCUACACGAAGAACCUUACCUGGGUUUGACAUGUUGGUGGUACCGAACCGAAAGGGGAGGGACCCUUCGGGGAGCCAACACAGGUGCUGCAUGGCUGUCGUCAGCUCGUGCCGUGAGGUGUCGGGUUAAGUCCCGUAACGAGCGCAACCCUUGCUCUUAGUUAUACGUGUCUAAGGGGACUGCCGGCGACAAGCCGGAGGAAGGUGGGGAUGACGUCAAGUCAGCAUGGCCUUGAUAUCCAGGGCUACACACACGCUACAAUGGCCGGUACAAAGGGCAGCCAAGCCGCGAGGUGGAGCGAAUCCCAGCAAAGCCGGUCCCAGUUCGGAUUGCAGGCUGCAACCCGCCUGCAUGAAGUUGGAGUUGCUAGUAACCGCGCGUCAGCCAUAGUGCGGUGUAUACGUACCCGGGUCUUGUACACACCGCCCGUCACAUCAUGGGAGUUGGCAACGCCUGA
rnacentral:rRNA from 1 species